rnacentral:misc_RNA from 1 species
CGCACAUUGCGCCCGCCAGUAUUCUGGCGGGCAUGCCUGUUCGAGCGUCAUUUCAACCCUCAAGCCCCCGGGCUUGGUGUUGGGGCUCGGCCCGUCCCUAGUGGCGCGCCGUCCCCGAAAUCUAGUGGCGGUCUCGCUGAAGCCUCCUCUGCGUAGUAGCUAACACCUCGCAAUGGGAACUCAGUGCGGCCACGCCGUUAAACCCCCCACUUCUGAAGGUUGACCUCGGAUCAGGUAGGAAUACCCGCUGAACUUAA